AACUGAAGGUGUGUGUGGCUCACAGGCUCGUCAGCAGCCGUCGAUCGCUCAGAUCUGGAUCAGUCCAUCACCUGAGCGUCUGGAUCUUCUCACGCACUUUGACCUUCACAGAGGUGUCCUUACAGCACAGGUCACUACAAUCCAUCACUCUUUCCUGAGACGCACAUUCUAGGAUGUCAGACUCGAUUAACGUGGGUCACAUGAUGUUGAAGGGCGGGAUGGAUUUGUGUUUCAUGUAUUUUUUUAAUAUGUGUUCAGAAGCUGUUCACUGGACUGCGGCGUCACACGUGGGAUGUUUAGUGUCUGUCUAAACACUCGUGGCGUCCGGUCGGACCAAACGGACUCACGUCUGACACACACGUGUUUUCUGAUUAACCUUCACACUUUACAGACUUUAUAAAUUAUUUGAGAUUCAUUCGUGUUUUAACGUCAAUCAAACGGAAACGAAUCACAUCAAGAACUUUAAAGGUCAUGGAUCAGUCCAUGGUGUGUGUGUGUGUGUGUGUGUGUGUGUGAGAGUGACUGUGAGUGUGACUGAGUGUGUGU